UACGUAGGUGGCAAGCGUUGUCCGGAUUUACUGGGCGUAAAGGGCUCGUAGGCGGCCAACUAAGUCGGACGUGAAAUCCCUCGGCUUAACCGGGGAACUGCGUCCGAUACUGGAUGGCUUGAGUUUGGGAGAGGGAUGCGGAAUUCCAGGUGUAGCGGUGAAAUGCGUAGAUAUCUGGAGGAACACCGGUGGCGAAGGCGGCAUCCUGGACCAACACUGACGCUGAUGAGCGAAAGCCAGGGGAGCAAACGGG
rnacentral:rRNA from 1 species